rnacentral:rRNA from 1 species
UACGUAGGGUGCAAGCGUUGUCCGGAAUUAUUGGGCGUAAAGAGCUCGUAGGCGGUUUGUCGCGUCGAAUGUGAAAACCCGGGGCUCAACCCCGGGCCUGCAUUCGAUACGGGCAGACUAGAGUUCGGUAGGGGAGUCUGGAAUUCCUGGUGUAGCGGUGAAAUGCGCAGAUAUCAGGAGGAACACCGAUGGCGAAGGCGGGACUCUGGGCCGAUACUGACGCUGAGACACGAAAGCCAGGGGAGCAAACGGG